rnacentral:rRNA from 1 species
CCUACGGGAGGCAGCAGUGGGGGAUAUUGCACAAUGGGGGAAACCCUGAUGCAGCGAUGCCGCGUGAAUGAAGACGGCCUUCGGGUCGUAAAGCUCUGUCGCCGGGGACGAAAAUGACGGUACCCUGCAAGGAAGCUCCGGCUAACUACGUGCCAGCAGCCGCGGAAAUACGUAGGGGGCAAGCGUUGUCCGGAGUUACUGGGUGUAAAGGGAGCGUAGGCGGGAGGAUAAGUUGAAGGUGAAAUCUAUGGGCUCAACCCAUAGCGGCGUUGGAAACCGUUCGUCUGGAGUGAAGUAGAGGCAGGCGGAAUUCCUAGUGUAGCGGUGAAAUGCGUAGAUAUUAGGAGGAACACCAGUGGCGAAGGCGGCCUGCUGGGCUGUUACUGACGCUGAGGCUCGAAAGCGUGGGUAGCAAACAGGAUUAGAUACCCUGGUAGUC